AGUGAGCUACAAGAUUUACAGCUUUCUUAUAGCAGCAGUUUAAACAAAGGUGCAAACAACAAGAGGAGCUUGUAGCCUUUGGGGGGUUAUAGCUCUGCCUUUCAAAGUGAAUUUGAAUGUUCUACACCC
rnacentral:snoRNA from 1 species